UAGGUUAUUAAUUAUGAUACAAAUAUCAGCAUGAGCUCCACCUUUGAAUUUACUAUACGAGUAAAUUCUUAAACUCGUAAAUUCUUAUCAUAAUGAUAAAUUCGCGGCAUCUAACCCCUAACACUAACCCUAAAACCCAACCCUAACCACUAACCCCUAACCUUAAUCCUAACCCUAUCUAACUUUUUAAACUUUUUUGAAAAUCUAACUUUUUUAAACUUUUCUUUUGAAAACCUUGAAAAUCUUCCAACUCCCGCGCAACCAGCCCCCCUAACUCCCUUUUAGUAUGGCUUACAUUUAUAACAAAAAAGUCUUGUCUAAUGCUUUUGGUUUUAUGAUUAACUCUAUUCAAAAUUCAAAAUGUGCCGCGAACACUUAUAUCAUAAUGAUAAAUUCGGACGUGUUUAACUCUUUACUCAUAUAGUAAAUUCAAAGGAGGAGCUCAUGUUGACAAAUAUAUCGGUUUUUGAAUAUUUUGAUCAGUAAUUUCCGCAGUAAUAUAUCACUAUAUACAAUAUUUCACUAAAAGAUGUUCAGUGUCCACUGCAUACAUAUUUACUUUAAAUAGAGUAAUGUAUGCUUUGGUCGCAUGGAGAAAUGUAAGUAGGUUAAGAACGCCGUACGUUUAGCGAUAUAUUUUAUUUGGACAUAUCGGUUUUGUUCAUUGAAUUAUGAGAAAUUGAGAAUUACGCAUAUAGAUACAGACAGUUCUCUUUAUGUACAUAUGACUUCUUCCAGUUGUACAGUUUUUUCCAAUUCAUCAUGUUGUUGCUUUUGUCCCAACAACGGUUCGUAAACAAGUUUCUCAUUCGGCUCCGAGAACAGAUCUUUCUCUCCAUGAAAAAGCUUUUGCCAGAAAAAGGAAAGGAUUCGUAAGUGGAACGCCAAUCUGAAACCGAUCACGAUCACUACCAACCCCCGGAAUUUCCUGGAUUCAUCUGGAAAGUUGUGUUGGAUCAGGGGGGCUACUUCAAGUGCCACAUCGAGCAUGAUGGAGGCAACUUUACUGGUUACCUCCACAAAAUGCA